GACGGAGGAUGCAAGCGUUAUCCGGAAUGAUUGGGCGUAAAGCGUCCGCAGGUGGCAGUUCAAGUCUGCUGUCAAAGACCGGGGCUUAACUUCGGAAAGGCAGUGGAAACUGAACAGCUAGAGUAUGGUAGGGGCAGAGGGAAUUCCUGGUGUAGCGGUGAAAUGCGUAGAUAUCAGGAAGAACACCAAUGGCGAAGGCAGAUCUCUGGGCCGUAACUGACGCUGAGGAGCGAAAGCAUGGGGAGCGAACAGG
rnacentral:rRNA from 1 species